rnacentral:ncRNA from 1 species
CACUCUGAAGAGCCGCCCGGUUUUCGUCGCCGGGCGCACCGAAGGAGCAAGCGAGCCGUCACGCGCUCGUGAAUCUCUCAGGUCCAGAACAGAGGGG